rnacentral:lncRNA from 1 species
AACAAAACGCACUCCGGUAAACACUGAUGUAUGGCCCUCUCUAAUGUCCUGUUGUGUUGGUUGUGCUCAGGUGGAGGCGGUGCAGGUGGAGGAGUUCCUGGACAGGGGCCGGUCUGGAUGAUGGUUCGUGGGAGAGACAGGAGGACAUCGCGGUGACGGCUCUGAAGCUGCAGCUGAUUCUUCAGGAAGUGCAGAUCAAGUUCUGGAAGGAGGAGGAGGAGGAGCUGAAGGCUGCGUCUCAGAGCAGAGUGAAGAUGGAGAGGAUCCCGGUGUCCAGCCCUGACCGGAGCUCAAACCGUUCAUGAAGCAGCUGGAGAAACAGGGACUGCAUGUGAUGAAGGUAACGGACUCAGAGUUUAGAUCUGACUCUCUGGAGCUGCAGAGGAAGUGACCCACGUGUGUUGCAGACGGAGCGAGUGGAAAACCGGCACUGGGAGAAACUCUUCAAGCUCAGAAAGGCCCAGAUGCCCUCCCUCUCCUCUGAUGACAAACUGCUGCAGCUCGUCCCGGCCCAGUUCUGCAACAUGGUCAGCUAUAUUGGAUUCAGACCAGAGUGCGCUCCACCCAACGACUCGUGUCUCGGUGAGGGCCUAUAUUUCGCGGCGGAUGUGUUCACGGCUCUGCGCGUGUGGACGGAGCGCUCGGACCGGUUCCUGUACGUAUUCGUGGCCGAGGUCUUAAAAGGCCGGUGCGGACGAGGACAACCCGGGCUGGUCCUGGCUCCAGGACUGGCCUCCGGAGCGGAUCCUAUGGCGCGCUACGACUCUGUGGAAGGAUUCGGAGCCACGGUAAUAUUCGACCAUCGUCAGGCGCUGCCAGGUUCAUCAUCACCUGCAGGAUGGACGGCAGCUUCGUGUGAGAGAACAAACUAUUCCAGAAGAACAGACACUUUACUGAGAUUAAAAAUGUCUCUCAUACAGCGCCCCUGCUGUCACUUUUACAGUUUACACAGGAUUAUAGACCAAAAGUAUCAGCAUCGGCCUGAGAACCACCCGAGCACAGUUUCUCUAGUUCAGCUUUACCCAAAUCUAAAAGCUUCUCGAUGGGAGAUGUAGACUCUCAGUCGAACAGGAGUUUCCCAUCUUCAGUGAAGGUUCUUGAGUCCCCAUCACAUUUGACGCUUUUUUGAAUCACUUUUUUGUUUCGUUUUGUCACUGUUUUACUGUGUUACUGCUGCUUUUCCGGCGUGUUUUCCUUUUUUGAUGCUUUAGAUUUGGGUAAAGCUGAACCAGUUAAAGUGGGGGUUAAGAGGUUAAAAUGACGCUUGUUUUCCUCAUGAUUGAAGCUUAGACUUAUCGAACGUUUAUUCAACAAUAACUCAUGGAGACGAUACAGUACGAUGUUUUCUAUCAGACAAAUUCAAUCCUUAUUUGUUUUUAUCACUUUUUGUGUGUAGUUUAAAGCAGAACUAAGUAACGUGUUUACCUUUAAUAAAUCCUUCCCGUCGUCCCUCUGGGGGUAAUACAAGUGUUAAUGGGAUGAUUGGAGGGUCUUUCAUCUCCCCCUGGUGUCUCUGGGUCGGAGUCACCAAUACACACUAAUGGAAUCACGAAGAAGAAGCUAACAGGCUAACGGGCUAAGCUAACUGCGGGCUAGCUCCACUUAAACAGUAUUUACAGCCAAGUUUGAGUGAAACAAAUGAUCUUAUUGUGUAACUGGAUGAUCAAUAUCCCUCUGUCCCUUUGUCUUUUCUGUCAGUGUAGUAUUUACUCUCACGGACAAUUAAUGAGUAAAAACACAACAUGUACGACAGCUGCAGUGGCGCUUAUGGCCUCUAGGGGCAUGAGUUACUUAGUACUGCUUUAACCUCUUAGCUCUGGUCGAGAAGCUUUUAGAUUUGGGUAAAGUCGAACUGGAGGUGAAGAAGUUUUAACACAAAAUGUAACAAAGUGCUGUUACUGGAAACAAAGGAAGUAUAAAGUAUAAAGUAUUUAGUCCCAGCCCUAACGUGUACUGUAUAGGAUAUGUUCAAGAAGUUACACGUUUUAUUUCUAUGAUUGAAACCUUUAGUUUUGUAAUAAAUGUUUAAAUAAUCAGAUUAAAUCACUAAUAUAUCGGCGUAUGUGUAUCAGGAGCCUAAUCGAUAAUCACUUGAUGCUUUUGUUGAAAAAUUAAAACCUUUUUUUGCCUUUUCUUUUAAUACCUUUGUAAAGUUUUGUUCUGUCUCAUGUUUUAUCUUUAAACUUCAUUACAAUCCGUUCUGUGAAGAGCUUUGUUUGAUUUUAUUGUUGUGAAGGAAAUGAAUCUGGUGUGGGACAAAGUAAAUAAGCUGAUUU